UCCAGUAGCUCCCUUGGUCGCGCCCGACCAU
rnacentral:sRNA from 1 species